rnacentral:lncRNA from 1 species
UUUCCACAUCUUCUUCUCCUCUUUCCCCUUUGCAGGAACCAAAUCUUCUUCCAAUGGCCGAUCAGCUCACCGACGAACAGAUCUCCGAGUUCAAGGAAGCUUUCAGUCUAUUCGACAAGGAUGGCGAUGGUACCGUUUCUCAGAUCCAUUCUUUUUUUAACUUUUUUUUCUUAGAUCUGAAUUUUACUUUUAGCGUUGUUAGGGUUUUCAAUUUUUAUGAUACUUAUCGAUUCAAUUUUCAUACGAAUUGGAACGUUUUUAGGUCUGUUUCAAGGUUCUUUCUGGUUUGACUUGGAUUUUUUGUUUUGAUUCACAUUUUUUGUAAAGCUUUGUUUUAUUUACCGUUUUGCCCUUCUGUUAAACUAGGUUUGAUUUGAUCCUUCAUGUGUUUGUGUGUGGAUUGAUUGUUUGAUGUAUUGGGGAUGAGUAUGUUUGUUUCAAUUGUGAGAUGAGAUUUGAUUUGAUUUAGCGAUUAGAAUUGUUUGUGCAGAAAUGGAAUUUACUAUUGCAUGAUUAGAUUUGUGAAUUUGUGAAUUUUUGAAUAGCUUAAUAUUGGAUUUACUUCCUUUGUCUUUGUGUUGUGCUUUUUUGUGAAUGAUCUGAUUUGAAAAUGACUCAACAACUACAUGUUUGUAAUGGCGUUUUUGCUUUUACCUUUUUAGUAUUCCAUUAAUGGCUGUGUUAAACUGAUCUUAUUGAUUACCUAUUUGGUUAUAAUUUGUUUAUAUUAGAUAGAGAUUCUUCCAUGAUUUCUAAACUGGUUCAUGCUAUUUAUUCGUGGAGUUGGAUCACUUGUUUGUGUUUUAACUAUUUGUUUAAAAUGCUACAGGUUGCAUCACUACCAAGGAGCUCGGGACUGUUAUGCGAUCACUUGGCCAGAACCCAACUGAGGCCGAGUUGCAGGACAUGAUAAACGAGGUUGAUGCUGAUGGAAACGGUACCAUUGAUUUCCCUGAAUUCCUCAACCUGAUGGCCCGUAAGAUGAAGGAUACUGAUUCCGAGGAAGAGCUUAAGGAAGCUUUCCGUGUGUUCGACAAGGAUCAGAAUGGUUUCAUCUCUGCAGCUGAGCUUCGUCAUGUUAUGACAAAUCUCGGUGAGAAGCUGACUGAUGAAGAGGUCGACGAGAUGAUCCGCGAAGCUGAUGUUGAUGGUGAUGGUCAGAUCAACUACGAGGAGUUUGUCAAAGUCAUGAUGGCUAAGUGAAAGGAUCAAACAAAACGAUAACCAAAAUUUGAAAAAGCAUAUGAACAGAAAAGGGACAAAGCUAAUGAGUUUUGAUGAGGAUUAUUA